GCCAGGUACUGUGGCACAUGCCUGCAAUUCCAGCUACUUGGAAGGCUGAGGCAGGAGGAUCUCAAGUUCUGGGCCACCUGGGCAAUGUUUGCCAAUGUUUGCCCAGGUGGCCCAGAACUUGUGGUCUUCCUGCCUCAG
rnacentral:sRNA from 1 species